GGUGAACGCUGGCGGUAGGCCUAACACAUGCAAGUCGAACGGCCACACAGUAAGCGCUCGCCCCUACGGGUGGCGAGUGGCGGGUGGGUGAGGCAUACAUCGGCUUCUUCUUUUUCGUGGGGGACAACGUAGGGCAACUUACGCUAAUACCGCAUAUGUCCUACCGCUUAGAGCAGUGGUUCAUCGCGCCUUGCCUGUCCGAUUUAGCUGGUGUCGGAUUAGCUAGUUGGCGGGGUAAAGGCCCACCAAGGCGACGAUGCGUAGCUGAUCUGAGAGGAUGAUCAGCCACACUGGAACUGAGACACGGUCCAGACUCCUACGGGAGGCAGCAGUGGGGAAUAUUGGGCAAUGGGCGCAAGCCUGAUCCAGCAAUACCGCGUGAGUGAAGAAGGCCUUCGGGUUGUAAAGCCCUGUUGUUGGGAAAGAAAAGCAGCAGGAUAAUACACGGCUGUUCUGACGGUACCCAAAGAAAAAGCACCGGCUAACUUCGUG
rnacentral:rRNA from 1 species